rnacentral:rRNA from 1 species
GCCAUAUCAAUAAGCGGAGGAAAAGAAACCAACAGGGAUUGCCUCAGUAACGGCGAGUGAAGCGGCAAAAGCUCAAAUUUGAAAUCUAGCACUUUCAGUGUUCGAGUUGUAAUUUGAAGAAGGUAACUUUGGUUUUGGCUCUUGUCUAUGUUCCUUGGAACAGGACGUCACAGAGGGUGAGAAUCCCGUGCGAUGAGAUGCCCAAUUCCAUGUAAAGUGCUUUCGAAGAGUCGAGUUGUUUGGGAAUAA